rnacentral:rRNA from 1 species
AACGAACGCUGGCGGCAUGCCUAACACAUGCAAGUCGAACGAGACCUUCGGGUCUAGUGGCGCACGGGUGCGUAACGCGUGGGAACCUGCCCUUAGGUUCGGAAUAACUCCCCGAAAGGGGUGCUAAUACCGGAUAAUGUCUUCGGACCAAAGAUUUAUCGCCUUUGGAUGUGCCCGCGUUGGAUUAGCUAGUUGUUAGGGUAAAAGCCUACCAAGGCGACGAUUCAUAGCUGGUCUGAGAGGAUGAUCAGCCACACUGGGACUGAGACACGGCCCAGACUCCUACGGGAGGCAGCAGUGGGGAAUAUUGGACAAUGGGCGAAAGCCUGAUCCAGCAAUGCCGCGUGAGGGAUGAAGGUCUUAGGGUUGUAAAGCUCUUUUACCCGGGAUGAUAAUGACAGUACCGGGAGAAGAAGCUCCGGCUAACUCCGUG